rnacentral:misc_RNA from 1 species
GUAGGUGAACCUGCGGAAGGAUCAUUAUUGAAUAAAUCUGAUGUGGUUGUAGCUGGCUCUCCGGGGCAUGUGCACACCCGUCACCUUUAUCUUUCCACCUGUGCACACACUGUAGUCCUGGAUACCUCUCGUCGGAAGGCGGACUUGGGGUUUGCCGUUUGCCCUCAGGCUCGGCUCACUCUGAAUUUCCAGGUCUAUGAUCUCACACACCCCCAAAGAAUGUAACAGAAUGUCAUCACAGGGCCCUUGU